AUACUUCCCUGGUCCCGGGGCCCCGUUGAUCACCGAGGACGAGCCCGAGGGCGAGGCGCGGGCACUGCACUGCUCUCGCGUUGAUCCCUUCCACUACCCCAAACUGGGGCAGAUGGGACAUGUAAAUUGCUUAAAUCCGGUUAAACGCAAGAGAGGGCGCCACCGCC
rnacentral:snRNA from 1 species